rnacentral:lncRNA from 1 species
UCUUGUUCACGGUCAUUUGUGACCAAUUCAUUCUUGGCCAUUUGGUGGACCUGUAGCUCUACUCCAGCAAGGAACAAUUUUAUGAUGAAAAAGAAAUAGCAAGGAAAAUAAAAACAAAUAAAAUGUACUAAAUCAACCGAAAAAAAGUUAGGUGUACAUUAAAAAAAAAAAAGUAGAAGGAAAUGAAAAUUACCGUGAACCAAAACUGAGUUUCUAAACCCCAAAAUCUCCUAUCCAUUUUCAUCUCCCAACCCCUAAACCAAAACUCAGUAUCCACCCA